AUGGCUGAGGACACCGAGUCUUCCUCACAUGAAGAAUCGGCUCGUCCAAGAAACCAGCUUCGUGUUGACGCACCUGAAUUUAUCCCCACCAUGGGCUAUAAUCCCAUUGGACCAUGCCUAGUGGGUGAGCCAAGCAAUAGACGCUCGCUCCAGUGGCAAGGGGUGUUUGUCACUUCAGAUGACUUCCAAGCUGGUCAUGUGGAUCCAACUGCUACAAUAUCGGAUCCUUUGUCCUCAUCGGUGCCAGCACCAAGACCAUCAUUUGAGGGCUCAGUUGAUCCAGCACGAUGCUCUAUCUCUGCUGAUAAUGUUGGUGGCGCCAUCAUGCGGCAUGUAGAAACUCUAUCGAAGUGGCCAGAAUAUGAAGAAUUUGUGAAGGCAGAUCCACGACGACGAGAGUAUGUGAAGCAGGCUGCUCAUGCACGCAAAAAGCGGGCUGCCCUGAAACAAAGAGAGAGGGCAGUACGAGCCGAUUUGGGGUAUAGCGGAAUACAAGGAAGAGAUUCUCCAUCAACAAGCCAAGUCAGUGGAGGAAAUGGGGCAAAAGAAAUGGCAAGUACAGAAAGGAAGACUACUAGAGCUCUCGCCCCAUGGCCAACUCGCAAGAAAGUCUCAGAGCAUACAGAGCAAGUCCUAGCUACAAAUGAAACUCGUUCGGUUGAGGAGCAAUUAGCCAACCUUACGGCAGCACUCCAGCAAAAGGAAGAUGAGCUAGCAGCCCUUCGUAUUCAUAUGGGCAAUAACCAGAACAAAGGAAUUGAAGGGGAUGGUGGUGCAAGUGCUAGCAGCCAACAUGGAGGAGCAGGGCUUAACCUUGAGGCGAUCCAGAGGAUGAUCGCUGAGGGGGUAAAGUCCCAGUUGAUGCAAACUCAGUACUCGAUGCGGCCAGGGUAUGUUAAGCCAUACCCACCCGAUGUGGACCUAGUUCCUUUCCCAACAAAUUACAGACAGCCGCCGUUUAGUAAGUUCAAUGGGAGUGGAUCUCCCCAUGAGCAUAUAGCACACUUCCUUGCUGCUUGCCAAGAUACAGCCAACAAUGGAGUACUUCUCCUUAGGCAGUUUGUACAGACAUUGUCUGGGCCUGCCUUCACCUGGUACAGCAAGCUACCUCCAAGCUCUGUAAAAACGUGGGAACAAAUGCAAAACUCAUUCCUCGAGAGGUUCUAUAGCAUGCAGAGGACGGUGGGCAUAACUGAGUUGACUCAAACUGAACAAGGGUUCAACGAGAAGGCGGCUGACUUCAUAAAUAGAUGGAGAAACCUAAGUCUUCACUGCCCACAGCCCAUCACCGAGCCAGAAGCAGUGCGGAUGUGCAUGAACAAUCUCCGCUCGGAAGUGGCUGUCCAGUUACAAGGCGUGAGGCCCCUCACAUUUGAAGAGUUAGCUUCAAAUCCAUGGAUAUAG
rnacentral:rRNA from 1 species